rnacentral:rRNA from 1 species
UACGGGGGGGGCAAGCGUUGUUCGGAAUUACUGGGCGUAAAGGGCGCGUAGGCGGCCUGCUAAGUCACACGUGAAAUCCCUCGGCUCAACCGGGGAACUGCGUGUGAUACUGGCGGGCUUGAAUUCGGGAGAGGGAUGUGGAAUUCCAGGUGUAGCGGUGAAAUGCGUAGAUAUCUGGAGGAACACCGGUGGCGAAGGCGGGUCUCUGGGCCGAUACUGACGCUGAGGAGCGAAAGCGUGGGGAGCGAACAGG